rnacentral:rRNA from 1 species
AUGCUCUGCGCUCCGCCGCAAACGCUGCGUCCGUCGCGGCCGCUCUUGCCCCCACCGCGAUGCUCCGGCAGCACGCAGCCGUCGCCGUCCUCGGCCGGAAACAUCCGGCGGCAGGUGCUCCAGCCCGAGGGCCGCGCGAAGCUGGACCCGCGCUCCGACCGCGACUUCUACGCGUUCCCGCGCCUCGUCAAGCACGUCGACGACGGCUUCCUCGCCACGCUCACCGACCUCUACCGGGAGCGGGUGCGCCCGGAGUCGGACGUGCUGGACCUCAUGAGCUCCUGGGUGAGCCACCUGCCCCCGGAGAUGCUGUUCCGGCGGGUCGUCGGCCACGGGCUCAACGCGCAGGAGCUGGCCAAGAACCCGCGCCUGGACUACUUCUUCGUCAGCGACCUCAACCGGGAGCAGCGGCUGGAGCUCGAGAGCGCCUCCUUCGACGCCGUGCUCUGCACCGUGAGCGUGCAGUACCUGCAAUCGCCUGAAAAAGUUUUCGCGGAGAUCCACCGGGUGCUGAAGCCGGGAGGGGUGUGCAUCGUGAGCUUCAGCAACCGGAUGUUCUACGAGAAGGCGAUCGGCGCGUGGCGGGAGGGGUCCGCCUACAGCCGCGUCCAGCUCGUGACGCAGUACUUCCAGUGCGUCGAAGGGUUCACGCAGCCGGAGGUGGUCCGGAGGCUGCCCCCCUCGGACGCCGGCGGAAAGUCGGGCUCGUCGCCGCUGGAGGCCCUGAUGCGACUGUUCGGGCAGGCGAACUCUGACCCGUUCUACGCGCUCAUCUCGUACAGAAACUUCAAGCCCAUGUGA